ensembl:snRNA U6 U6 spliceosomal RNA
GUGCUUGGUCUGGCAACACUUGUGAUAAAGUUGGAACCACAUACAAAGAAGAUUUACAUUGCCCCUGCACAAGGAUGACUCACAAAUUGGUGACUCAUUUCAUAGUUUU